rnacentral:rRNA from 1 species
GACGAACGCUGGCGGCGUGCUUAACACAUGCAAGUCGAACGGAAAGGCCUAGCUUGCUGGGUACUCGAGUGGCGAACGGGUGAGUAACACGUGGGUGAUCUGCCCCUGACUUUGGGAUAAGCCUGGGAAACUGGGUCUAAUACCGGAUAUUCAUUUUUCCUCGCAUGGGGAUUUGUGGAAAGCUUUUGCGGUUGGGGAUGGGCCCGCGGCCUAUCAGCUUGUUGGUGGGGUAAUGGCCUACCAAGGCGACGACGGGUAGCCGACCUGAGAGGGUGAUCGGCCACACUGGGACUAAGACACGGCCCAGACUCCUACGGGAGGCAGCAGUGGGGAAUAUUGCACAAUGGGCGCAAGCCUGAUGCAGCGACGCCGCGUGAGGGAUGACGGCCUUCGGGUUGUAAACCUCUUUCAGCUCCGACGAAGCGCAAGUGACGGUAGGAGCAGAAGAAGCACCGGCCAACUACGUG